UAUUCCUCCCCCGCUUCCACUCGGUGUGUGUAUCUCUCUCUCUUUCUCUCUCUCUCUCCUCUCAAAAAUAAACGUUAAAAAAAAUUUAAGGGACAUGCAGGUUAAAAAAAUCAAGUCAAGGUUGUCACAAUGUGAACGCCUUGCACACUCAGUACAGCGAGUGCAUGGAGUUUGAGUGUGGGGAGCAGACUUACCUGUUUGACCCGGAGACAUCGCUUUGCAAAUGACUCUUUUCUGAACACCGGCCUUUUCUGACCAAUUUGAGGCGCCAUUGAGGGUGACUCACUCUAGCCCUUCAUUGAUGAUGCUCAUUUAUAGGCAGUACUUUUAUUUCCAAAUGGACUUCCUGUCCCACUGCCUUAGGGGUUGGUGGGCUGUGUGCCAACCGAGGUGUGGACCGCAGAAAGCGAGUGCGAGGGAAGCCAGCAGUCCGCGGGGCUGUGCUGAAGCGGGUGCGGCGAAGAGUGGCGCAACUUUCAGGAGGAACAAAAUACAGGGAAGUGUGAGAGACAUCAUCUGAUCAUUUAACUUUAGGUGAGUGCUGUUCCGAUAUGCUGUUUUCUUACCCCACGGUGUUAGUUUUACUGUCUGUAAUCUUCUGUUUAAUUAACAAAGACUUUAUUCUUACUUUGGAUUCAUACUGGCAUUCCACACCUGUGAUAGCUACUUGCUUGGAGUGACUCCCAGUUUGUUUCGGGUACACUGGUCCAGAACUGCAGGCUAGUUAAUGCCGUGACACGUAUGCCCAGGAUAGUGCUUUUGGGUAGACAAGGGAUGUAGCAGGAAUCUGGAAUGUACAGAUUGAGUUGCUGGCUAAGGGUACAUGCACAUGGGCACAGUUUAGGCAGUAUCAUUUGAUUGUGUGGCUGUCCGGGACCAACCAAGUUCAUAUCUUUAUGUUUAUGAAAUAAAGGUAAAAACAGACCAGUUCAACCUACACCAAAGUCAAAAAGAGCAAGGCAUAUUUCACUGUAGAAUUUGAGUUAGACAUUGAUGUACAGACGUCACAUUGUACUAGAGUGAAUACCAUUGCUUUCCGAAUAUAAUAAAGUAUUGUUACUUCAAAGAAGGAGCUUCAAUGAUCACUUAAUCAAGUCCCUGAGGCCCUGAGAGAAGAAGGGACUUCGUCAAGAUCUGUCGUUGAGUUAAGGUGCCACACUGUACAGUGGCAAAACUGGAUUGGCCAAGGUGUCCCCAGUCAUCACCACCUGUGAAUUCUUGCCAAGGAAAAGAAGCCCUUUCUUUUUCCACAAGGACUGAAAAGGUCCUGGUACCUACUCAGAGUCACGGAGGUCUAGCAGCAGAGGCCAGUGUCCUUAAGUCAUGUGAACUUGACCCAUGCCAUUUGAAGGGUAAUGCAUUUUGGCAAGUGGUGUUAGCAUCCCAGAACAUUUGAAGACAGAAUAACAACCCUUUAUAGCCCCCAGAAGCAUAGAAAGAGAAGUUUGUCCACUUUGCUGGGCCUGUCUCUUCAUAUGCAGACUUAGGGGAUGGGGCCAGUUGUUCACGCUUUUCUGUCCUGGCCCAGCUCCGUGACCUACAAUACCCCAUUUAACCUCUCUGGAGUAGUUUUCUCAUGCACAGAGUUAGGAGACUGGACUGACUUUUUCCUCUGCCUACAUUCUGGAACUCUUGUUUAAUUCUUGCACUCAUGUGAGCGCACACACACACGCACACACAACCAAGAAAGAAGGUAAAAGUGUCUGGGAAGCUGAGUGUUUGUAAGCUCAUGCUUCCCCUUGUUAAUUCUCGAUCUUUGGCUUCAGGGGUCCUUGUAAGUAACUGAUACCCAGUUUAGAGGUAAAAAAUCAAAACUGCAAAAAUGGCUGUGAGCUAGAACAUUUGUUUUUGUUGUGAUUUUUCAGUAUCAGUGUGAGAAAAUUAAUCUCACAAACCAUGAGAAAGGGAAGAAACAUUUGCCGGAACUGGAGGAGGCCCAGUAAGUCCAUUCUCCCCUGCGUACGUUUGGGGCUACGUCAUAAAAUGAGGCUAAUGGAAGCCAGGUUGGCCACCUUCGUUCCUGGUGCAGCCCAUGCUGGUCGGCCUGGCUUCUGUCUGUGGGCCAGUGGGUGGGUGUCCUGGUGCUGAGCUGCAGGAAUGGAAGACUCACUGGCUGGGCAGAAAAGGACCGGCUCACCCCCAAGAGGGAGGUGCGAGGGCGUGACCGAGCCCUGUGGUGCUCAGCGUCUCCUCUCUCCUUGCCGGUUACUUCGUCUCCCGCAGGGUCAAGUGAGUGUGGGAGCGGGAGAAAGGCAGGGUGUUACACCAGGGGGUACUCUUGCAAGGAAGGAGACAUCUGCCCGGAGCGGGAAGGAAGGUGGCCCUCAUACUUCUUCUGGGGAUCCACCUCGGUCACUUGGUUUCCAUCCUGUUUGCAGAUCUGUAUUUUCCUAGCGUGGUAAUUUUAAGCCCCUGGGGAGCAAGGUGUUCAUGAGGCUGCCUGAGCUAGAGUAAUGUCUACCUUUUCUUUCUUUUUUUUUUUUUUUUUUUUUUUUUUAAACAUUCAUUUAUUUUUGAGAAACAGAGAGAGAGAGCACAAGGGGGGCGGGGGGCGGGGGCAGAGAGAAGGAGACACAGAAUCCGCAGCAGGCUCUAGGCUCCGAGCUGUCAGCACAGAGCCCGAUGCAGGGCCUGAAACCCACCAACCGCGAGAUCAUGACCUGAGCCGAAGUCGGACGCCCAACCGACUGAGCCACCCAGGCGCCCCAAGUAACACCUGCCUUUUACUGGGCACUUUCUUUGUACUUGCCACUGUGCUGAGUGCUUGGGACUUGUUUUCAUCUAAUCAUUACUCCACAACAAGUUAAUAGGUGCCACUGUUAACUCCACUUUGUAGAUGAGGAAACUAAGGCUUAGCAAGGCUAAGCCGAUGCCUGGGGUUUAUAUAACUGGUGCAGAUUCAGAAAGUCAUGGGGCUCCUGGGUGGCCCAGCCAGUUAAGUGUCCGACUCUUGAUCUCACCUCAGGUCAUGAUCUCGCAGUUCAUGGGAUUGAGCCCUCCAUUGGGCUCUGCGCUGGUGACACGGAACCUGCUUGGGAGUCUCUGUGUCUCUCUCUGCCCCUUGCUCACUCUCUUGCAUGCUCUCUCUCUCUAAAAUAAGUAAACAUUAAAAGAAAAUCACUGGAAAAAAACCCUUUGGAUACUACUCCUGAAAUCAUUAUUGCACAAUACGCUAACUUGGAUGUAAAUUAAAAAAUAAAUAAAAAUCAAAAAAAAAAAAAAAAGAGAGAGACAGACAUGUCAUUUUCUUCCAUUCUAACUCUGUAUGACAUGCUUGUGUUGUGUUCUCUAAUUCUGAUACCGAGUAGCCCCAGGAAGGUGGCUGGAAUGGCGUAGGGCUUAGGGAAAAACUUGAGCACCGUGGCUAAGAAGAAACAGUCGGAAGAGAAGAGUCAGAAGAGCAGGUCUGAGGUGAUCAGUAGUGUCAUCCUGGUAGGUGAGGAACCCGUGCUUUCUGGGUAGGCCAUGACGUACAGAUAGAUACAGGCACAGACUUACACUUGAUACUCACCGCCACUUACUGGUGGCAUUGCCAGGUGCCAGCACCCGUGCCGGGUGUUUUAUGGGUACUGGUCUCUUGGAAACGUGAAUGCAGCGGUAUCUUUUAAAGGGACUGGCGAGUGUUUUACAGUGUCCCUUUUGUCUGCCCUUAAACCUCUAUCCAUGUAUACACGGGACCUCCUAGACCGAAACACCGCCUCACGAUCCACCUAAGACGACUUGUAUCCUUAGGGCUGGAAAGGACCCACACAGAGGAUGUUCAGGUUCAAAGUCAGGGCCUCUGGGAGCUGGUGCAGCUUGUAGUGUUGCUUUUUUUUAGCAUUUAUUUUUGAGAGAGCAUGAGCAGAAGGGGAGCAGAGAAAGGAUGACACAGACUCCGAAGCAGUCUCUAGGCUCUGAGCUAUUCGCACAGACCCCAACGCGGAGCUCAAACUCACGAACUGUGAGGUCAUGACUUCGUGGAGAAGUCUUACACUUAAGUGACUGAGCCACCAAGGUGCCCCUGCAGUAUUGCUUUUUAAACCAGAAGUCCAAAUAUUUUCUUUUUCUUCCUCCUUUUAAUGAUGUCAUCUUCUGUUUAAGUCUGUUAGAUGCGGUUUCCUUUUGGUCUCAGUCGUAUUCACGCUCCCUUUCAAAGGCACCGUCCGUGUCCCGGGCCAGGGGCUUGGCUUCAGGGAUCUGCAGUGUUGGUGGCCAACUCCCUUAGACGUCACUUCCAUCUUUACAGUGGACGGUAUUCAUUUUGAGUGACGUAAGGGGAAUAAUAAGCAAGGAUGGACUUGCGCAUAGACAUUCCAGGCUCGGUUCAGAUCACUUCCAUUAGAGGAUGUAUAAAUAAUAGCAAAUCCUUUGGGGCCAUGUUUAAAUUACUACUGUUUUAAAAACUUCCCAUUGUUAGCUGGAGUUGUUUGUUUUAUACUUUGGAAAUAGAAUUUUAAUCUAAUUUGACUUACGAUAGCCUGGCCUCAUAGCAUUGCUUUCUGGAAUUGUAAGUAACCUUUAACAGAUAUUGCUUAUUUUGCCCUUUUAAAAUAAUGGUUUAACAAAUGAAAAGAAAUGCACAUGCAUUGAAAAAAGACUUGGAAGAGAGAGAACACAGGGUCCAUAGAGAUUGGCUCUAGGAUAGAACUGGCCAUUGCUAUCUUAGCAAUGUUAGGUUGUCUGCACGUUCCAAAGUUUCCAUCUAAAUGGAUAUUUUUCCUUAAUUUUACAAAAUGUGACCAUUGGGAAAACAGAAGCAAGAGAAUUUGAAAAAUCACCCCCGACCCCAGCACUCCGUUCACCACCGCUGGCAUUUUGGUGUCCUGCACUCGUCUCUGAGUAGCAAAUGUGUUUCGUUCCCCAGAUCUGCAGUUUUCCCCCUUUGCCCAGGUUCCCGACAGCCUGCCCAAGGCUGUAUCUUCACAGAAGGACUCUCCUCCCCGACAGUAGCAGCCCCUGCUGAGUCUAACAGAUAAGCCACCUUCACAAUGAACCCAAACAGGAACCUUAGGGAGGAAACGCUGUCCCCCUACAGUUAGUCUGUAGCCCCAAAUGAGAACAGUGUGUUCUGUAGUAAAAUGUAAUCUAUGCACUGUGUUGACAUUGCGUGAAAUUUGUUUAUUUAUAGUAAAGCUCGUAUGUAUCUGGGAUAGUUUCUGCAUUGAGCCCAUUAAGAAAAUUUUGAGUGUGGGCAGAAUUUAAACAGAUUAUUUCCUUAUUUCCUCUAACGGGCAUGCAGCUGCUCUGUUUAACCUACCCGUUCAUAGAAAGUUUUCAGAGACAUGUUUUUUUCAAACCAAGGAAUAUGUGAUUUGGCGAUGGAAUCUAUAAAUAAAGUGACCCAUUUUUAACUAGAUUGCUGGUGUGCUUUUCAGCAGGACUUUGUGGUUUAGCUAAUGAAAUCUUUUCACACAUGAUCCUCUGAACCUUGUGUCUAGUUCUAUCACUGCCGCGUUUAUGACUUAAUUGCCUUUGUGGUUUAAUUCACUUCAUGACACAUUCAUCACCAUGAAGUUGUACACUCUUCACCCCCCUCUGUCCUAGUAUUUGCUUGAUGACUUUUGGGGUCAAGGAGAGGUCAAGAGGUGGUUUUGUGCUAUUAAAAAUAAGUGGUUGUUUGCAUAGGCUAAUCCGUCUUGUUUAAUUAAAACGGUCUUUGAAAUUUUAAUUAGUGCAUUGAAUCUGCUUCCUCUUGAUAAUUUUCUGUUCCAUAAUACUAUCGGUUGAGCCUAUAAUAAGUUAUUUCUUUUACUUGUAGAGAAUUAGAGUUUAUAAAGUCCUUUCGUAUUUAUUCUUCCACGUAAUCAUUCCAACAUUCUCCUCCCCCCAAACCCCGAUAUGACAGAUAUUAUUAUCCUCAGAUUUUUUGCAGGUGGGGAAACUGAGGUAGAGAAAUUAUAGGGAGAGUAUGCUGGGUCCUUACGGCUAUUAGAUGGCAGGCCUGGGAUGCUCCCACUAUAGAAAGCGGACAGUUGGGAUAUUACCAUUUAGGAAAAGGCUCCUGUUUCAUUGUUGUCUGGGAGCCUUGGGGUGGCCCUCGUGUUAACACCUUGCAAGUAUGUCGGGAGGCCCCUGUGGAGUACUGGAGUGUGAGAUUUUCAGCUACACCAAGGAAGUUGACUUGGUCACGUCUUCCAUCCUUGUGGUUCUGGCCAUGAGUUCACGUGGCGACACAGCUUCACAUCGACGGGUGUUAAAGUCGGCUUUUGGAGGAACCAGAAUCUGUUCUUUUUUUAAAAAAAAUUUUUUUUUCCUUGCAUUUAUUUAUUUUUGAGAGACAGAGACAGCAUGAGCAGGGGAGGGGCAGAGAGAGAGGGAGACACAGAAUCCGAAGCAGGCCCCAGGCUCUGAGUUGUCAGCACAGAGCCCGACACAGGGCUCGAACCCAUGAACCCCUUGAGAUCAUGACCUGAGCUGAAGUGGGACGCUUAACCCACUGAGCCACCCAGGCACCCCGCAGAAUCUGUUCUUACUUGCUUCCUCUAGAGGCAGUGUCUGUUGGUGUAGAGUUUUUCCACUUUCCCCCCCUUGUGACUGUGGUGUCCACACUUUCCAGAUGCAUCCAAGUGUAGGUCUUCCUGACCAUGCCACUCGACUACACAGAGCAUGGAGAGAGUCAUACCCCGGGCACAGCCCUUGUGGCUCCGGGCUGAGCUCCUGUUCCUCUCCACCCCUCCACGGGAGAGACGUUACGUACACAUAGGUGUGGUGCUCAGCGAUUUAAAUGUUUCCCUUCCAAUUCUCAUUUCAUCUUCUGCCGGCCUUGUGAGGUAGGAGGAACAGAGGUGAGCACCUGCAUCGUCCAGCUCCCGUGCUCUAAUCUGCCAACGAGGAGACCACAAGACUCGGAAACAAAAACGCGAGGCCAAAGUCACAAAGCGACGAUGCUGGACCUGAAGCCAGGUAUUUCUGGCUUCAAAAUGCCUGCUCCCUCUACUGUAGUAAGCUGCCUUUCCAAAAGUACAACACAGAUUUUUUUUAAAGCUUUAGGAUUAAAAUGACACCUGAGAGACAUCACGUUUGCGCAGUAAGCCGCUUCCUCCCUCAAAAGUUGUCUCCAGUUUCUGACAUAGAAUUAAUUUAAGAAAUGUUCACAAUUUAAAUUUAUAACUCAGUUUGCUCCUGGCAUAUGCAUUCUCGAAUUUAGAAUACUAUCACAAACCCUUUAGUUAUUACAGAAAUAUUAUAAACACCUACAACUAUCCAUCCUGGUGAGGAGAUUUGCCAGUCACAGCUUCAAAAUUCUAUUCCACGCUUAAAAGAUAUUCCAUAAGCUAAGAAGUUCACAAUUACCUACUUUCAAAAUAAGAUAAUAGUGUUUCCCUUGGUUGGAUUAUAAAAACAGAUUCUUGACUCCAAAUCCAGCUGACCAACCCCACGUUAUGAUCAAAAUGAGAAGUCUGAAUAUAGGCAGACUCGAGGGAUGCAGUGAACUACCCAGUAAAUAAAAUGUAAAUCAAAGAGAAUAAAAUCAAGUAGUACCUUUAUAACUCUCAGUGUCUGCAUGCAAAUAUAACCCCCCUUCAGAGUGAGGUACACAUGGUCUUUUAAAAAUUAUUGUGGAUCAGAAGCAAAAAAUUAGCAAGUGCAGGAUCUUUUGAUAAAACAAUCAGAUUUAGUCAAAUUUAAUUAACAUCAUCAGGGAAGAAAGGGAGGAAGAAAAUCCCAAAUACGGAUAAUUCAGAGGUCAUUUUUUGGGGUCUUUUCAGCAAUAGAUUUAGUUUUUUCACCAUCUGUGCUGUGUUUUUGACAGACAUAAAAAAUAAUUUCCUCUCCCUCGAUACGUGUCGGCUAACGGGGAGCGAGUACGCAGAAAGGGGAGCAACCACAGGUAGUCAAAGGAAAGGACCGGUUGGAGCUUUAAAUUUUGACCCACACCGUGCAGCUUACAUGCAGAGAGAGAGAGAGCAUGAGUGGAGUAGGAGGAGUGAGAGGGAGAGAGAAUUCCAAGUGGACUCCGCGCCACCAGCCCACAAACUGCAAGACCGUGACCUGAGCUGAGAUCAAGAGUCGGACAGUGAGCCACUGAGGCCUUCUAGACCUAACUCCUGACUCCUCCCAAGAGCCCCACAGGUUGGAA